UCAAUUAAUAAUCAAUAUCAUCUUUUCGAUGUCAUCAAUUUACGAAUCGAAAGAGAAGGAAUUUUGAAGGAUGAUCUAUAAUCGAAUUAAUUACAAAAGGAAGAACGGAGAGAUAACUGGAAGGGGGAUUUAAAUGGAAAUGGCAGAAUCAAUGGAGGAACAAUUGCAUUUUCUUCCUUUUUGUAUCAUGAUAAUUAACAAUUCUACAAAUAGAAGCGAUUGAGAACCACCAGUAUCGAUUACUUCGGAUUUAUUGAUACUCCAUUGUGUUCCACUUAGUAGUACGGAUCUAUUUCUUCAUUGUUACGAGAAACGAUCCUUCUUUUUUUAUCUAAAUGAACGAAAUGAUUAAACAUCUGCGAAGACUAUUGUACUCAUUGGCGUGGUUCAACUGCUCUGACUUCGUUCGUUGUUUGAAUUAUGCAAUCGAAAUAGUUUCAUUACACUAUUUGCAGAGGCAUUCUCUCUUACGUAUCACAACCGAUGAUUUCGAAACUAAUGAUUGAUAAAAAGAAACCAGCGAUUAAACCUUUGACGGUGAAAAAAAAAUCAAAGAACUCGGAAUGAACAAUACAUAUUAGGAAUAGUUGCUUCUUUUUCGUAAAGA